rnacentral:lncRNA from 1 species
UCCAGCAAUUCUCCAGUCUCAGCCUCUCGAGUAGCUGGGAUUACAGGCAUGUGCCACCAUGCCUGGCCAUCUUCGCUCUUGAGCACCUGUGUCAUGAACAAGUCAUGGACAUCUCUAGCAAUGAAAGCAAAGCCCUGCAGUCAUUUAACAUAGACAUACUCUCUACAUCCUGUUAGCCAGCGGCUCCUACGACUUCUCCCAACAAUCUUAAAGCAACCUGGCAUGAAGGAGCUGGCUCAAAUGCUGGUCAGUGGAAAGGGCAUAAGCUCUGAAGUCACAACACAAGGGUUCAAAUCCGACCCUCCCGGCUCCUGGUCUGUGCUCUCUCCCCCUUACUGUAAUGCCAACUUCACUUUGGUUUUUACCCCUGCAAAUAUUCAUCAUUGUGUUGAGUCAACACAAUGAUACAUAAAAAAUCAGCAGUCUCUGAUAAAGUGUGGCCUACUGGUUAAGAGGAGCAGGGCUUUGAAAGGAUAGCCAAGGUAACACUCCUGGUUCCACCAUGUGUUAGCUGUGUAACCUCGGGCAAGCUGCUUAACCUCUCUGAGUCUCAAUUUUCUCAACUGUAGAAAGCAGACAUAAUAUUACAGGGUUGCUGAGAGAAUAAUAUGACAUUAGGUUUCUAAAGUGCUUAAUUCAGUACCUGGCUCAUAGUAAGUGCUCAAUAAACACCAGUUAUAAACAUCACUGCAUUUGAAAUUCACAGCUUUUUCAAAGUUAGAGUCAGAAAGAAUUUCAGAAGUCCUGUAAUUCAAUGUUUUCCAAAGUGUGUUCAAAACACUCACUUCCCUCAAGAUGCUCCAUGAAAAAGGGUUCUGUGGCCAAAUAUGAUGGGUUGUAUAUUAAAGCCUCAGAGAAGCCACAGAGUAAAGAAACCUGUUGAACUUUGAUUACUCCAACCUUUAUCAAAUGGAUUUGACUGUAGAACCCUCUUCACACAUCACUUUUUAACUUCCAGGUUGCUGGUAGACAGAGCUCAGUCAUUAACCAUCAUUAAGAAUCAUAACAAAUACUGGAUAACAUUUAUGGAGGGUUUGCUCUAUGCCAGGCACUGUGAUAUGCACAAGGCAUGUAUUAUCUCACUUUAUUCAUAACAACACUAAGAAGUAGUGCUAUCAUCUUUUACGGAUGAAAAAAUAGGCUUAGAAGACUAAGUAACUUGGCCAAGGUCACAUACCAAGAAAUCGUCAGCAUGCAAACUCAGGUUGGCCUGGCUCUGGAAUUCAGCCUUGCCACCUCCCUGUAUGGUUUCCGCAGCCCACUGCAUUACCCCUGACUGUUGGACAGUCCUUCCUUGUAUUGAGCUGAAAUCCAAUUCCAGUUCCAAUCACACUGUUUCUCCAGGGUGCACAUAAAUAUAUGGUGAAAUGUAUUAUUUAGUUUCAAUUCUAAAUAUCCUUUAUUUGUCAUUGUUUCUCGAAUUGUAUUUAUUCUGUUCCCUUUUCUCUUGACUUGCUCAAGUACUUCAGCAUUUCAUUUGGACUAAAAAACUCAACACAA